rnacentral:rRNA from 1 species
UGCAAGUCGAGGGGUAACAGGGAGCUUCGGUUCCGCUGACGACCGGCGCACGGGUGCGUAACGCGUAUGAAACCUGCCUUAUACUGGGGGAUAGCCCGAAGAAAUUCGGAUUAAUACCCCAUAAUAUAAUUGAUUGGCAUCAAUUAAUUAUUAAAACUCCGGUGGUAUAAGAUGGUCAUGCGUGACAUUAGCUAGUUGGUGAGGUAACGGCUCACCAAGGCGACGAUGUCUAGGGGUUCUGAGAGGAAGGUCCCCCACACUGGUACUGAGACACGGACCAGACUCCUACGGGAGGCAGCAGUGAGGAAUAUUGGUCAAUGGGCGAAAGCCUGAACCAGCCAUGUCGCGUGCAGGAUGACUGCCCUAUGGGUUGUAAACUGCUUUUAUAUGGGAAGAAUGUGACCUACGUGUAGGUUUUUGCCGGUACCAUAUGAAUAAGCAUCGGCUAACUCCGUGCCAGCAGCCGCGGUAAUACGGAGGAUGCGAGCGUUAUCCGGAUUCAUUGGGUUUAAAGGGUGCGUAGGCGGAAGUGUAAGUCAGGGGUGAAAGUUUGCAGCUCAACUGUAAAAUUGCCUUUGAUACUGCAUUUCUUGAGUACAUUUGA